GCCUUCUUGGUGCAAUGGUUAGCACACUCAGCGCGUAUAUGAGAGAUCCGAGGUUCGAAUCCCGGUGAGGGCA
rfam:Stegodyphus mimosarum contig49655, whole genome shotgun sequence.